CGACCGGCGCACGGGUGAGUAACACGUAUCCAACCUGCCGUCUACUCUUGGACAGCCUUCUGAAAGGAAGAUUAAUACAAGAUGGCAUCAUGAGUCCGCAUGUUCACAUGAUUAAAGGUAUUCCGGUAGACGAUGGGGAUGCGUUCCAUUAGAUAGUAGGCGGGGUAACGGCCCACCUAGUCUUCGAUGGAUAGGGGUUCUGAGAGGAAGGUCCCCCACAUUGGAACCGAGACACGGUCCAAACUCCUACGGAAGGCAGCAG
rnacentral:rRNA from 1 species